GAUGAACGCUGGCGGCGUGCCUAAUACAUGCAAGUCGAGCGAACAGAUGAGGAUCUUGCUCCUCUGACGUUAGCGGCGGACGGGUGAGUAACACGUGGAUAACCUACCUAUAAGACUGGGAUAACUUCGGGAAACCGGAGCUAAUACCGGAUAAUAUAUUGAACCGCAUGGUUCAAUAGUGAAAGACGGUUUUGCUGUCACUUAUAGAUGGACCCGCGCCGCAUUAGCUAGUUGGUAAGGUAACGGCUUACUAAGGCAACGAUGCGUAGCCGACCUGAGAGGGUGAUCGGCCACACUGGAACUGAGACACGGUCCAGACUCCUACGGGAGGCAGCAGUAGGGAAUCUUCCGCAAUGGGCGAAAGCCUGACGGAGCAACGCCGCGUGAGUGAUGAAGGUCUUCGGAUCGUAAAACUCUGUUAUUAGGGAAGAACAAAUGUGUAAGUAACUAUGCACGUCUUGACGGUACCUAAUCAGAAAGCCACGGCUAACUACGUG
rnacentral:rRNA from 1 species